rnacentral:RNase_P_RNA from 1 species
GAGAGAGGAAGGGCGGCUGCCGGUGGCAUAAGUGCUGCUGAGGAAAGUCCCCUCACCAUCUGGACCGCGGACACAUUCAAGUGUGUAGGGUGAGAACCCUGGCUCUGGAACAGAAACGAAACCGCAGCGCAGAAAUGCGAUGAAUCCGAAAGGACGAGGUCAUGCGUUUUGCGGAUGGAACGGCGAAUCCCCGCGGGUGCAAGCCGAAAUAGGACAGAAAGGGCAGUCCAGACCUGUCCGAGUACGGCGCAUAGCCGAAUGCCGCAUAAGCGCUACAGGGGCACUCGCUCCUUGCGCCAAACAUAAAGGGGCUUACUCUCCUCACUC